AUUAACUUAGUAUAAUUUAGUGCAUGAGAUUGUAGAUCUCGAGGUAAGUGUUACGCUUAGUUAAGA
rnacentral:tRNA from 1 species